rnacentral:rRNA from 1 species
GCAGUCGAACGGUAACAGGAAGCAGCUUGCUGCUUUGCUGACGAGUGGCGGACGGGUGAGUAAUGUCUGGGAAACUGCCUGAUGGAGGGGGAUAACUACUGGAAACGGUGGCUAAUACCGCAUAACGUCGCAAGACCAAAGAGGGGGACCUUCGGGCCUCUUGCCAUCAGAUGUGCCCAGAUGGGAUUAGCUUGUUGGUGAGGUAACGGCUCACCAAGGCGACGAUCCCUAGCUGGUCUGAGAGGAUGACCAGCCACACUGGAACUGAGACACGGUCCAGACUCCUACGGGAGGCAGCAGUGGGGAAUAUUGCACAAUGGGCGCAAGCCUGAUGCAGCCAUGCCGCGUGUAUGAAGAAGGCCUUCGGGUUGUAAAGUACUUUCAGCGGGGAGGAAGGUGUUGCGGUUAAUAACCGCAGCAAUUGACGUUACCCGCAGAAGAAGCACCGGCUAACUCCGUGCCAGCAGCCGCGGUAAUACGGAGGGUGCAAGCGUUAAUCGGAAUUACUGGGCGUAAAGCGCACGCAGGCGGUCUGUCAAGUCGGAUGUGAAAUCCCCGGGCUCAACCUGGGAACUGCAUUCGAAACUGGCAGGCUUGAGUCUUGUAGAGGGGGGUAGAAUUCCAGGUGUAGCGGUGAAAUGCGUAGAGAUCUGGAGGAAUACCGGUGGCGAAGGCGGCCCCCUGGACAAAGACUGACGCUCAGGUGCGAAAGCGUGGGGAGCAAACAGGAUUAGAUACCCUGGUAGUCCACGCCGUAAACGAUGUCUACUUGGAGGUUGUGCCCUUGAGGCGUGGCUUCCGGAGCUAACGCGUUAAGUAGACCGCCUGGGGAGUACGGCCGCAAGGUUAAAACUCAAAUGAAUUGACGGGGGCCCGCACAAGCGGUGGAGCAUGUGGUUUAAUUCGAUGCAACGCGAAGAACCUUACCUGGUCUUGACAUCCACAGAAAGGUCUCAGAGAUGAGACUGUGCCUUCGGGA